rnacentral:rRNA from 1 species
GACGAACGCUGGCGGCGUGCCUAAUACAUGCAAGUUGAGCGCUGAAGGUUGGUACUUGUACCAACUGGAUGAGCAGCGAACGGGUGAGUAACGCGUGGGGAAUCUGCCUUUGAGCGGGGGACAACAUUUGGAAACGAAUGCUAAUACCGCAUAAAAACUUUAAACACAAGUUUUAAGUUUGAAAGAUGCAAUCGCAUCACUCAAAGAUGAUCCCGCGUUGUAUUAGCUAGUUGGUGAGGUAAAGGCUCACCAAGGCGAUGAUACAUAGCCGACCUGAGAGGGUGAUCGGCCACAUUGGGACUGAGACACGGCCCAAACUCCUACGGGAGGCAGCAGUAGGGAAUCUUCGGCAAUGGACGAAAGUCUGACCGAGCAACGCCGCGUGAGUGAAGAAGGUUUUCGGAUCGUAAAACUCUGUUGGUAGAGAAGAACGUUUGUGAGAGUGGAAAGCUCAUCAAGUGACGGUAACUACCCAGAAAGGGACGGCUAACUACGUG